GCCAGGGGUGAUAGUAUGUUGAACACAUCAAUUCCCAAUGGAUCAGUGAAGUUAAGCAAUGUUGUGUGUGGUUAGCAUCUGGAUGAGUGGCCAUCUGGGCUUGUGUGUGUUACUGUUU
rnacentral:rRNA from 1 species